AGUGAACGCUGGCGGUAGGCCUAACACAUGCAAGUCGAACGGCAGCACAGAGGAGCUUGCUCCUUGGGUGGCGAGUGGCGGACGGGUGAGGAAUACAUCGGAAUCUACUCUGUCGUGGGGGAUAACGUAGGGAAACUUACGCUAAUACCGCAUACGACCUACGGGUGAAAGCAGGGGAUCUUCGGACCUUGCGCGAUUGAAUGAGCCGAUGUGGGAUUAGUUAGUUGGCGGGGUAAAGGCCCACCAAGGCGACGAUCCGUAGCUGGUCUGAGAGGAUGAUCAGCCACACUGGAACUGGGACACGGUCCAGACUCCUACGGGAGGCAGCAGUGGGGAAUAUUGGACAAUGGGCGCAAGCCUGAUCCAGCCAUACCGCGUGGGUGAAGAAGGCCUUCGGGUUGUAAAGCCCUUUUGUUGGGAAAGAAAUCCAUCUGGUUAAUACCCGGGUGGGAUGACGGUACCCAAAGAAUAAGCACCGGCUAACUUCGUGCCAGCAGCCGCCGCGG
rnacentral:rRNA from 1 species